rnacentral:tRNA from 2 species
GAUUCCAUAGCUCAGUUGGUAGAGCGGCGUCCCGUUAAGUCGUAGGUCCCAGGUUCGAGCCCUGGUGGAAUCGCCA